rnacentral:rRNA from 1 species
ACACGGAGGAUGCGAGCGUUAUCCGGAUUUAUUGGGUUUAAAGGGAGCGUAGGCGGGAGCUUAAGUCAGCGGUUAAAUGGUGCGGCUCAACCGUGCCCUGCCGUUGAAACUGGGUUUCUUGAGAGUGCAAGAGGCGGAUGGAAUUCAUGGUGUAGCGGUGAAAUGCUUAGAUAUCAUGAAGAACUCCGAUUGCGAAGGCAGUCCGCUGGGGCACGUCUGACGCUGAUGCUCGAAGGUGCGGGAAUCAAACAGGAUUAGAUACCCUGGUAGUCCGCACGGUAAACGAUGAUUACCCGCUGUCGGCGGUAGACAGUCGGCGGCCAAGCGAAAGCGAUAAGUAAUCCACCUGGGGAGUACGCCGGCAACGGUGAAACUCAAAGGAAUUGACGGGG